GCUAACUUAAGCCCACCCAACUAAUAAAACAAAUAUUACUGCUACCAAUCCAAACCAUUUAACCUAUCUCAGUAUAGGUGAUAGAACAGAUAUUUAGGCGCAAUAACGCAAGUACCGCAAGGGAAACAUGAAAGACCAGUCCAAAGCACCAAAAAGCAAAGAUUAGACCUUCUACCUUUUGCAUAAUGAUUUAGCCAGAAAAACCGGACAAAAAGAAUUAUGCCCGCCUUCCCGAAAUCAAGUGAGCUACUAUAAGACAGUAAUUAGAACUAACUCGUCUAUGUAGCAAAAUAGUGAGAAGAUCUUAUAGUAGAGGUGAAAAGCCAACCGAACUUGAUGAUAGCUGGUUGUCCAAAACAUGAAUUUUAGUUCAACUUUAAAUUUAAUUAAAAUACCUAUUAAAUCUAACUUAAAUUUAAAAGCUAAUCAAAAGGGGGACAACUCUUUUGAUUAUGUAAACAAACUUUAUUAGAGGAUAAUGUACAUCAAAAAACAUUGUAGGCUUAAAAGCAGCCACCAAUUAAGAAAGCGUUAAAGCUCAAAUCUACAAAAACCUUAAUCCCAAAAAUCACCCCAAAAUCCCUAACUCUGACUAUUGGACGAUUCUAUUACCCUAUAGAAGACAUAAUGCUAAAAUCAGUAACAAGAAACAUUUCUCCUAGCACAGGCCUACAUUAGCAACGGAACACCCACUAAUAAUUAACAAACAAACAAUUACAUAUAUUUAACUAGCAAAAUUUUUACAUCAAUUGUUAACCCGACACAGGAGUGUAAAUAGGAAAGAUUAAAAAGAAUAAAAGGAACUCGGCAAAUAUAACCCCGCCUGUUUACCAAAAACAUCACCUCUAGCAUAACAACUAUUAGAGGCAACGCCUGCCCAGUGAGUUAACACUUUAACGGCCGCGGUAUCCUGACCGUGCAAAGGUAGCAUAAUCACUUGUCUCUUAAUUAGGGACUUGCAUGAAUGGCAUCACGAGGGUUUGACUGUCUCUUAUUCUCAAUCAGUGAAAUUGACCUUCCCGUGCAGAGGCGGGAAUACUUCUACAAGACGAGAAGACCCUGCGGAGCUUAAGAUUCAUAGUCUAAUUCAACCAAGAUUUACCCUAUUCAGGAACAAAAACAGAACCCAUAGACUAUAACCUUUGGUUGGGGUGACCUCGGAGUAUAAAAUAACCUCCGAAUGAUUAAGCCCAGAUCUACUAAUCUCAGCGUAAUAAUACCAAUAAUUGACCCAUUUUUUGAUCAACGGAACAAGUUACCCCAGGGAUAACAGCGCAAUCCUAUUUAAGAGCCCAUAUCGACAAUUAGGGUUUACGACCUCGAUGUUGGAUCAGGACAUCCAAAUGGUGCAGCCGCUAUUAAUGGUUCGUUUGUUCAACGAUUAAAGUCCUACGUGAUCUGAGUUCAGACCGGAGAAAUCCAGGUCGGUUUCUAUCUGUAUAUUCAUUUCUCCCAGUACGAAAGGACAAGAGAAAUAAGGUCUACGCUACAUAGUGAACCUUAGAAAUAAGAUAUGAUUAAUCUUAAUAUCCUAAUUCAAUUACUCAACCCUCUAGAACAGAGCUA
rnacentral:rRNA from 1 species